rnacentral:lncRNA from 10 species
ACCAGGGCCUUCCUUUUGUGCAUCAGGAACUCAAUGCAUGUUUACUAAAUUAAAUCCUUAGACUAGAUUUCUCCAAGCCAAUUGUAAAUAACUGAGGUAAUCAAGGAGGUGCAUUACUUUUGUGUCUACCUGAAAUUUAUGACCCAACAUAUUUUGGGCACAUGUAGUUUACAUUGAUGAGAAUGAUCUGUGGAAUUGCGUCUGCUCUCUACGUCUACUUACCGAUGAAGGCAGAGUCUUUAAUCCUAGAGGCCAGUGUCCCUUCUUCCACCUACCAGUGUAUAGUAGAAGCAGCAGCAGCAGCAGCAGCAGCAGCAGCAGCAGCAGCAGGAGCUAGGAAUCUCUUAAUUGCUUUGUGCUUGUCAAGAUUAUGCAACUUUCCAGAAUUCAAGAUCAUGGAAAACUGCCAGAAGGAAAUGGGUCUUCUCCUCUCCCAAAUGGUCCCAUAACUAGUCUGGCCACCUUGAGCCAUCCAAGAGGAGAAUGUGGUCAGGGACCGUGACUCAGCUUAAGAAGCUACAUUUAUAUCUAUAUCUACACACAUGUUCUACCGACUAUGACCACACCACCAUGGCCCAUGCCCAUACACCCACGUGUGAACCAAGAGGCAGGUAAUGUGCCGAUGACGACGUCUACAAGGUUUGAGGGAGGCACCUCUCAAAACCGAAUCAUCAUGCUUGCAAACUACAAAAGACUCUUUCUUGGUACUUUUCUUGUUUGAAAGUACCUACAUUUUGGGGCUCAAGACUCAGAAAGUCAGAGUGGAGAGUUGGGUGCCAUGCUCCAUUCUGCUUUUCCUGAAGUGCCUCAAAUGCUAGGCAGAGUCCCUGCACUCUCCGUGAUAGGAAUCUCCUCUGUGGCCAAAAUUGGGCCUCCGUUUUUUUCACCGCAGGAAUAUACAUGUCCUCAUGGCCGUCUCCUGCCUGGGCAGCAGCGAAGCCUCCCCAGACUGCUCUGCCCUGUGGAAGAAAAGGCCUAGGUCCUGCUGUUUUCCCAGUCUCCUUUCCUGGGAGGUGGCCAUGACUCGCUCCCAUUAACCUGGGCAGAGGCUGUUUCCCAUCUCUUCCUGCAUGAGUUACUUCAUGGAGCCUCGGAGGAGGAGCCCUGGACUCUGCUCGCCUGGGAUUCCUGCUGUUCUACCCACUGUCCACCCAGAAGCUCCCUUCCCCGGGUCUGACAUGACUUUCUCUUCUGAGCCAGGCCCAGCAGGAAGGAUGCGUUUGUGUUCGGCCCUGCAUUCCUGCAGUGUCCCUCGGGUGUGUGGCUGGAAAUGAUUUGUGUAAGGCACUCAGCCAGCCUCCCUUUUAAUCACUCCCAUACUCACAGACAGAGGGAAUCCCAGCCCCUCACCCAGGAGAGGGAAGGAACCUCCUUCAUUUUGACAGGGCCUCCCUCCGUGGUGGGGUAAGCAGUGAUUCUGGUCUCCAGGAAAGAUGCUUCCAAGAGCCUCUUUCUCUGAGGCCUAAUUAUGAAAUCGAUAUCUUCAGGAACCCCUCCUCCUUCCCUGGAGCUUCUGCAGGCAGACACUGCCCAGAUAAUGUUCAAACAUGCAUUGACCCGGCAGGGCUUCCUGAGCACCACUCUGGCUGGGGAGGAGGAUGGGAUCAGCUGGGCCUGGAAGAAUGGGCAGGGUUUGCUUAGGACGUUUCGGGGAGGCAGAUGGUGUAAGCUGGGGAUGGGGUGAGGAAGGGAGAGAGUUAGGGGCAGCUUGAGGGAAAUAGGGGUGUUUGUUGGGGAAGAGUGAGUGAUGACUGGUCAGAGUCCCAACAGCAAACAGAGGACACAAUUAAAAUGGGAUAGUUCCAGGAUAGUUUAUUUGCAUAGGUGUGAUCACAGGGAAACCACAAAGAAUAGUGCAGUUAACUGGUCUUAGUAAGAGCCAAGGUGUUAUCACCUCUAGGCACAAAGAGACAAAGACCAGAACAGAGAGUCCUGCAGAGCAACUUGACUUGGAAGGAACAGAAGACUUCAGUCCAGGGGCACAGUAAGCUGGAGGCAACCUUGCAGGGAGAGACCCAGGCAGAGCUGGAUUUGUAGUGACGCUGGCGAAGUUUAAGCUUCAGGAUCCCACGCUUGCACAGGUGACUUCCAAAGCCGGGAGGAGUUCUAGCGAUGUAUUCAUAUGUCACACAUUUUGUAAAUUUUGCAAAAGUAAGAUAGUUUCAUCCCAGUUUCCCUCCACUAUACAUAUCUCAUGGUUGGGUGGCUUUGGAGUCGUUGCGGGCAUUUUUAGGAUCUGGUUAAGGGGGAGAUGGGUUUUGGUUUGGUUGGGUAUAUGUAAGUUGCUCACAGCCACUUUUUUUUUUCUUUAGGAUGGAGUCUCACUCUGUCACCCAGGCUGGAGUGCAAUGGUGCAAUCUCAGCUCACUGCAACCUCCGCCUCCCGGGUUCAAGUGAUUCUCUUGCCUCAGCCUCCCGAGUAGCUGGGAUUACAGGUGUGCACCACCAUAGCCAGCUAAUUCUUGUAUUUUUAGUAGAGAUGAGGUUUUACCAUGUUGUCCAGGCUGGUCUCGAUCUCCUGACUUCAAGUGAUCCGCCCACCUCGGCCUCCCAAAGUGUUGGGAUUAUAGGCAUGAGCCACUGCACCCAGCCCACAGUCACUUCUGAAUAUACUUAAUUCAUCACUAGCUGUCCUGAUGUCAAAAUGGCUUUCAGGAAUACUCUCACCUCCAACUCACCUGGUGUCAUGACUUGAAGGUGAUGACAGGUCAUAUUGCAAUAUGUAUGUGGUUAGUGGAAGAGAACAGAGGUUUGUAAGGUAUGGAACCAGAAGAUAGCCUAUGGCAAAUUCUUCCCAUCAUCAGACGUACAAUUUUAAGUGGAGAAUUCAGUUCUCUUGGUCAGAAACAUAAUGUAGUACAUGCAACUCUAAAUACACCAUACUAUUUUCUCUUAAAAUGGAAUCUCACCCUUCAGAAAUUCUUAAACAUCUGUGUUUGUAGCCUAUAAGCAUAAUAACAUUUCAGAUCGUACCAAAAGUAGUAAUUUUUUAAGAAGAAGAAAGAAAAGGCAGGUAGAAAUAAAGGCCCUUGGACCAGCUGGUAAUCUUAUUGUUAAAGGAAAGUAAAACAUAUUAACUCACUGGGAAAAGCUUUACAUUUCUUGCUACUUUGAUAAAAAAUGCUGACAUCUUUGAAGCUGUCUUAGAUUGGGUUCCCUGGAGGCUGACCAUGAAAUGGAAAGUUGUGGGCCGGAGGCUUACCGUGGAGUGCUCUCAGGAGACAUAUGUGUGAGGAAAUGAGGAUGGCAGGAUUGGGAGAAGCUGAUCAGAAAUAUGGCCUCAGCCAAUCUGAUAUCCCCAGCAGCUGAAGGAUGGCUGUGUUGGCCUGAAGAGGGGAUCUGUGCGGUGGCCACAGCUCCCUCCACAGAUGAUAACGUAGGUCUCAUGAUACAUCACUACAAUGGGGACACCAAAGACAAACUGACUUCUCAUGUACAUCACUGCAAUGGGGACACCAAAGACAAAUGGACUUCUCAUGAUACAUCACUACAAUGGGGACACCAAAGACAAACUGACUUAUAAGUGUCAU